GGGGUUGUAGCUCAGUGGCAGAGCGCUCACCUAGCAUGUGUGAGGUGCUGGGUUCGAUCCUCAGCACUACA
rnacentral:tRNA from 1 species